AAAGCCGGGGGUACUGGGCCUCAGGUCAGGCCUAUGGCCAUGGCCUUCACAGACCUGCUGGAUGCUCUGGGCAGCAUGGGCCGCUUCCAGCUCAACCACACAGCCCUGCUGCUGCUGCCCUGCGGCCUGCUGGCCUGCCACAACUUCCUGCAGAACUUCACGGCCGCUGUCCCCCCCCACCACUGCCGGGGCCCUGCCAACCACACUGAGGCCUCCACCAACGACUCGGGGGCCUGGCUGAGGGCCACCAUACCCCUGGACCAGCUUGGGGCCCCUGAGCCCUGCCGGCGCUUCACCAAGCCUCAGUGGGCCCUGCUGAGCCCCAACUCCUCCAUCCCGGGCGCGGCCACGGAGGGCUGCAAGGACGGCUGGGUCUAUAACCGCAGUGUUUUCCCGUCCACCAUCGUGAUGGAGUGGGAUCUGGUGUGUGAGGCCCGCACUCUCCGAGACCUGGCGCAGUCCGUCUACAUGGCCGGGGUGCUGGUGGGGGCUGCCGUGUUUGGCAGCUUGGCAGACAGGCUGGGCUGCAAGGGCCCCCUGGUCUGGUCCUACCUGCAGCUGGCAGCUUCGGGGGCCGCCACAGCGUAUUUCAGCUCCUUCAGUGCCUAUUGCGUCUUCCGGUUCCUGAUGGGCAUGACCUUCUCUGGCAUCAUCCUCAACUCCGUCUCCCUGUUGUGGAGUGGAUGCCCACACGGGGCCGGACUGUGGCGGGUAUUUUGCUGGGGUAUUCCUUCACCCUGGGCCAGCUCAUCCUGGCUGGGGUAGCCUACCUGAUUCGCCCCUGGCGGUGCCUGCAGUUUGCCAUCUCUGCUCCUUUCCUGAUCUUUUUCCUCUAUUCUUGGUGGCUUCCAGAGUCAUCCCGCUGGCUCCUCCUGCAUGGCAAGUCCCAGUUAGCUGUACAGAAUCUGCAGAAGGUGGCUGCAAUGAACGGGAGGAAGGAGGAAGGGGAAAGGCUGACCAAGGAGGUGAUGAGCUCCUACAUCCAAAGCGAGUUUGCAAGUGUCUGCACCUCCAACUCAAUCUUGGACCUCUUCCGAACCCCGGCCAUCCGCAAGGUCACAUGCUGUCUCAUGGUGAUUUGGUUCUCCAACUCUGUGGCUUACUAUGGCCUGGCCAUGGACCUGCAGAAGUUUGGGCUCAGCCUAUACCUGGUGCAGGCCCUGUUUGGAAUCAUCAACACCCCGGCCAUGCUGGUGGCCACCGCCACCAUGAUUUACGUGGGCCGCCGUGCCACGGUGGCCUCCUUCCUCAUCCUGGCCGGGCUCAUGGUGAUCGCCAACAUGUUUGUGCCAGAAGGCACGCAGAUCCUGUGCACAGCCCAGGCAGCGCUGGGCAAAGGCUGCCUGGCCAGCUCCUUCAUCUGUGUGUACCUGUUUACCGGCGAGCUGUACCCCACGGAGAUCAGGCAGAUGGGGAUGGGCUUUGCCUCUGUCCACGCCCGCCUCGGGGGCCUGACGGCGCCCCUGGUUACCACACUUGGGGAAUACAGCACCAUCCUGCCACCCGUGAGCUUUGGGGCCACCGCAAUCCUGGCUGGGCUGGCCGUCUGCGUCCUGACCGAGACCCGCAACAUGCCCCUGGUGGAGACCAUCGCAGCCAUGGAGAGGAGUCUCCCUCUCAUGCGGAGCCGAAGCUGGACUGUACUGCUGCCAUCUCGGCUCACUGCAACCUCCCUGCCUGAUUCUCCUGCCUCAGCCUGCCGAGUGCCUGCGAUUGCAGGCACGCGCUGCCACACCUGACUGGUUUUGGUGGAGACGGGGUUUCGCUGUGUUGGCCGGGCCGGUCUCCAGCCCCUAACCGCGAGUGAUCCGCCAGCCUCGGCCUCCCGAGGUGCCGGGAUUGCAGACGGAGUCUCGUUCACUCAGUGCUCAAUGGUGCCCAGGCUGGAGUGCAGUGGCGUGAUCUCGGCUCGCUACAACCUACACCUCCCAGCCGCCUGCCUUGGCCUCCCAAAGUGCCGAGAUUGCAGCCUCUGCCUGGCCACCACCCCGUCUGGGAAGUGAGCAGUGUCUCUGCCUGGCCGCCCAUCGUCUGGGAAGUGAGGAGCCCCUCUGCCUGGCUGCCUAGUCUGGAAAGUGAGGAGCGUCUCAGCCCGGCCGCCAUCCCAUCUAGGAAGUGAGGAGCGCCUCUUCCUGGCCGCCAUCACAUCUAGGAAGUGAGGAGCGUCUCUGCCCAGCCGCCCAUCAUCUGAGAUGUGGGGAGCGCCUCUGCCCCGCCACCCCAUCUGGGAUGUGAGGAGCGCCUCUGCCCGGCCGCGACCCCGUCUGGGAGGUGAGGAGCGUCUCUGCCCGGCCGCCCCGUCUAAGAAGUGAGGAGACCCUCUGCCUGGCAACCACCCCGUCUGAGAAGUGAGGAGCCCCUCCGCCCGGCAGCUGCCCCGUCUGAGAAGUGAGGAGCCUCUCCGCCCGGCAGCCACCCCAUCUGGGAAGGUCAAAGAAGGCUCUUCCAAGAAACAUGUAGAAGAGAAGAGUGAAGAAAUUUCUCUUCAGCAGCUGAGAGCAUCUCCCCUCAAAGAGACCAUCUAAGCUGCCUGGAACCUGGUGCUUGCUAGCAGCACCUGAGCCGAUGUCCAGACGGCCCCCUGGGGGCUUCUCCCAGGAGCCCCUGGGGACACUGGUGCUGAACUGGAGGAAAGGUCGCUGAAAACAUCAUGGCUCCUAUAGACAGCCACCCACAAGCCAGGGCUGCUUGGAGGGAAACCCCACCAGAAACAGCCAAUCUGUGUUACAAAUGCAUAGAAAGCCAGGAGAAGCCAGUCCCAGGGACCAAAGGAGAGACUGUUUUCCUUUCCCAUCCCCAAUCUGCCCCUUAAAAUGUCUCUGUAUUAGUCCAUUCUUGCACUCCUAUAAAGAACUACCUGAGACUGGGUCAUUUACAAGGAAAAGAGGUUUAAUUGACUCACAGUUCUGCAGAUUGUACAGGAAGCAUGGCUGGGAGGCCUCAGGAAACUUACAAUCAUUGCAGAAGGCAAAGAGGAAGCAAGCACGUCUUCACAUGGCUGGCAGGAGAGAGAGAAAGUGAAGGGGAAGGUGCCGCACACUUUACAACAGCCAGAUCUCGUGAGAACUCUUUAUCACGAGACAGCACUAGGGGGGUGGUGCCAAACCAUUAGAAACCAUCCGCAGUAUCCAAGCACCUUGCACUAGGCCCCACCUCCAACACCGGGGAUUACAAUUAAACAUGAGAUUUGGGUGGG
ensembl:lncRNA novel transcript